GCCCUUAUAGCUCAGUGGUAGAGCGCAUCACUAGUAAUGAUGAGGUCCUCUGUUCGAUCCAGGGUGAGGGCA